CCUGCUAUGCGACUAGCAGUAGCCUAGGAGGACAUGCGUCACUGGUAACGGUGGGGUGUGAAGCUCUUCUGACAAUGUAGCCCCCGGAAGGUCGGGUGGACGAGAAUCGUGAGGUUUUCGUCCAGCGGUCCCUAGUAGCGUGGGACCUAGGCG
rfam:Burkholderia humi Vandamme et al. 2013 isolate LMG 22934 genome assembly, contig: contig000010